rnacentral:rRNA from 1 species
AGUGAACGCUGGCGGUAGGCCUAACACAUGCAAGUCGAACGGCAGCACAGUAGGAGCUUGCUCUUACGGGUGGCGAGUGGCGGACGGGUGAGGAAUACAUCGGAAUCUACUUUUUCGUGGGGGAUAACGUAGGGAAACUUACGCUAAUACCGCAUACGACCUACGGGUGAAAGCAGGGGAUCUUCGGACCUUGCGCGAUUGAAUGAGCCGAUGUCGGAUUAGCUAGUUGGCGGGGUAAAGGCCCACCAAGGCGACGAUCCGUAGCUGGUCUGAGAGGAUGAUCAGCCACACUGAAACUGAGACACGGUCCAAACUCCUACGGGAGGCGGCAGUGGGGAAUAUUGGACAAUGGGCGGAAGCCUGAUCCAGACAUACCGCGUGGGUGAAGAAGGCCUUCGGGUUGUAAAGCCCUUUUGUUGGGAAAGAAAAGCAGCAGGUUAAUACCCCGCUGUUCUGACGGUACCCAAAGAAUAAGCACCGGCUAAAUUAGUG